GAUGAACGCUGGCGGCGUGCUUAACACAUGCAAGUCGAACGAUGAAAGCGGGAGCUUGCUCCUGCUGGAUUAGUGGCGAACGGGUGAGUAACACGUGAGUAACCUGCCCUUGACUCUGGGAUAAGCGUUGGAAACGACGUCUAAUACCGGAUACGACCUUCGGAGGCAUCUCCUGGGGGUGGAAAGAAUUUCGGUCAAGGAUGGACUCGCGGCCUAUCAGCUAGUUGGUGAGGUAAUGGCUCACCAAGGCGACGACGGGUAGCCGGCCUGAGAGGGUGACCGGCCACACUGGGACUGAGACACGGCCCAGACUCCUACGGGAGGCAGCAGUGGGGAAUAUUGCACAAUGGGCGCAAGCCUGAUGCAGCAACGCCGCGUGAGGGACGACGGCCUUCGGGUUGUAAACCUCUUUUAGUAGGGAAGAAGCGAAAGUGACGGUACCUGCAGAAAAAGCACCGGUUAACUACGUGCCAGCCGCCGCCGUAAAAC
rnacentral:rRNA from 1 species